AUACUUACCUGGCAGGGGAGAUACCAUGAUCACGAAGAUGGUUUUCCCAGGGCGAGGCCCAUCCAUUGCACUCCGGAUGUGUUGACCCCUGAGAUUUCCCCAAAUGUGGGAAACUCGACUGCAUAAUUUGUGGUAGUGGAGGACUGCAUUCACACUCUCCCCUG
rnacentral:snRNA from 1 species